GGAUGUGAGGACAAUCUGUGACAUCUGUCAGCCCAUUGAUCGCCAGGGUUGAUUUGGCUGAUCUGGUUGCCUAGGUGGGUGUCCUCUUCCUCCCUCACAGCUCCAUGUGCAUCCCUCCCAAAGCUGCAUGCUGGGUUGAAGAGGAGGACCUUCCCCAAUAAGGGGGACUGUUCUUCAGUCAAGGGUGUACAAGCAGCUGCACUCCCCUGCUAGAACCUUGAAACAAGCACUCAAGGUUCAUUUGUAGGAGAAGGUAGAGUAGUCAAGCUUCCAAGACUUCAGACACAUCCAAAUAAGGCACUACAUGUGGCAGUCUGCCUUUAAAA
rfam:Ailuropoda melanoleuca scaffold2524_6, whole genome shotgun sequence.